UUCAAGAAAGUUCGUGGAAA
rnacentral:miRNA from 1 species